GACGAACGCUGGCGGCGUGCUUAACACAUGCAAGUCGAACGGUGAAGCCCUUCGGGGUGGAUCAGUGGCGAACGGGUGAGUAACACGUGAGCAACCUGCCCCUGGCUCUGGGACAACCACUGGAAACGGUGGCUAAUUCCGGAUACGACCCGCCUCGGCAUCGAGUGUGGGUGGAAAGUUUUUCGGCUGGGGAUGGGCUCGCGGCCUAUCAGCUUGUUGGUGAGGUGAAGGCUCACCAAGGCGACGACGGGUAGCCGGCCUGAGAGGGCGACCGGCCACACUGGGACUGAGACACGGCCCAGACUCCUACGGGAGGCAGCAGUGGGGAAUAUUGCACAAUGGGCGAAAGCCUGAUGCAGCGACGCCGCGUGAGGGAUGACGGCCUUCGGGUUGUAAACCUCUUUCAGCUCCGAAGAAGCGAAAGUGACGGUAGGAGCAGAAGAAGCACCGGCUAACUACGUG
rnacentral:rRNA from 1 species